rnacentral:rRNA from 1 species
UACGGAGGGGGCUAGCGUUGUUCGGAAUUACUGGGCGUAAAGCGCACGUAGGCGGCUUUGUAAGUCAGAGGUGAAAGCCUGGAGCUCAACUCCAGAACUGCCUUUGAGACUGCAUCGCUUGAAUCCAGGAGAGGUGAGUGGAAUUCCGAGUGUAGAGGUGAAAUUCGUAGAUAUUCGGAAGAACACCAGUGGCGAAGGCGGCUCACUGGACUGGUAUUGACGCUGAGGUGCGAAAGCGUGGGGAGCAAACGGG